UACGUAGGGUGCAAGCGUUAAUCGGAAUUACUGGGCGUAAAGCGUGCGCAGGCGGUUUUGUAAGUCUGUCGUGAAAUCCCCGGGCUUAACCUGGGAAUGGCGAUGGAGACUGCAAGGCUAGAGUUUGGCAGAGGGGGGUAGAAUUCCACGUGUAGCAGUGAAAUGCGUAGAGAUGUGGAGGAACACCGAUGGCGAAGGCAGCCCCCUGGGUCAAAACUGACGCUCAUGCACGAAGGCGUGGGGAGCAAACAGG
rnacentral:rRNA from 1 species